ACGUCAAGGCGGUUGUGAUGUGGUGACUGAAACACAAGCAUAUCACAGCCAGCUUUGAUGACA
rnacentral:pre_miRNA from 1 species